rnacentral:rRNA from 1 species
CCCUUAGAUGUUCUGGGCCGCACGCGCGCUACACUGAUGCAUUCAACGAGUGUACCUUGGCCGAGAGGCCUGGGCAAUCUUUUGAACGUGCAUCGUGAUAGGGAUAGAUUAUUGCAAUUAUUAAUCUUGAACGAGGAAUUCCUAGUAAACGCAGAUCAUCAAUCUGCAUUGAUUACGUCCCUGCCCUUUGUACACACCGCCCAUCGCACCUACCGAUUGGAUGGUCCGGUGAAGCCUCGGGAUUGUGGCGGUUGCCUUUAUUGGUGUCCGCCGCGAGAACUUGUCUAAACCUUAUCAUCUAGAGGAAGGUGAAGUCGUAACA